rnacentral:rRNA from 1 species
AGUGAACGCUGGCGGUAGGCCUAACACAUGCAAGUCGAACGGCAGCACAGUAAGAGCUUGCUCUUACGGGUGGCGAGUGGCGGACGGGUGAGGAAUACAUCGGAAUCUACUUUUUCGUGGGGGAUAACGUAGGGAAACUUACGCUAAUACCGCAUACGACCUACGGGUGAAAGCAGGGGAUCUUCGGACCUUGCGCGAUUGAAUGAGCCGAUGUCGGAUUAGCUAGUUGGCGGGGUAAAGGCCCACCAAGGCGACGAUCCGUAGCUGGUCUGAGAGGAUGGUAAGAGACAGGGAGGAUGGGACACGGCCCAGACUACUACGGGAGGGGGGAGUGGGGAAUAUUGGAAAAGGGGCGCAAGUCGGAUGCAGCAAGGCCGCGUGAGUGAUGAAGGGCGUAGGGUUGUAAAGCUCUUUAACACGGGAUGAUAAUGACGGUACCGGGAGAAUAAGAACCGGCUAACUCCGUG